UACGUAGGGUGCAAGCGUUGUCCGGAAUUAUUGGGCGUAAAGAGCUUGUAGGCGGUUUGUCGCGUCUGCUGUGAAAUUUCGGGGCUCAACCCCGAACUUGCAGUGGGUACGGGCAGACUAGAGGUAGGUAGGGGAGAAUGGAAUUCCCGGUGUAGCGGUGAAAUGCGCAGAUAUCGGGAGGAACAUCGAUGGCGAAGGCAGCGGCCUGGGACCAGGCUGACACUGAGGUGCGAGAGCGUGGGGAGCAAACAGG
rnacentral:rRNA from 1 species